rnacentral:rRNA from 1 species
UUCCAGACUCCUACGGGAGGCAGCAGUGGGGAAUAUUGGGCAAUGGACGCAAGUCUGACCCAGCAACGCCGCGUGAAGGAAGAAGGCUUUCGGGUUGUAAACUUCUUUUAAGGGGGAAGAGCAGAAGACGGUACCCCUUGAAUAAGCCACGGCUAACUACGUGCCAGCAGCCGCGGUAAUACGUAGGUGGCAAGCGUUGUCCGGAUUUACUGGGUGUAAAGGGCGUGCAGCCGGAGAGACAAGUCAGAUGUGAAAUCCACGGGCUCAACCCGUGAACUGCAUUUGAAACUGUGUUUCUUGAGUACUGGAGAGGCAGACGGAAUUCCUAGUGUAGCGGUGAAAUGCGUAGAUAUUAGGAGGAACACCAGUGGCGAAGGCGGUCUGCUUGACAGCAACUGACGCUGAGGCGCGAAAGCGUGGGGAGCAAACAGGAUUAGAUACCCCUGUAGCC